GAAGGGAUAGCUCAGUUGGUUACAGCGUGGUUUUGAUAAUGCCAAGGCUGCAGGUUCGAUACAGCUGUGUAUUCCUACA